rnacentral:rRNA from 1 species
GAUGAACGCUGACAGAAUGCUUAACACAUGCAAGUCUACUUGAACUUCGGUUUGGGUGGCGGACGGGUGAGUAACGCGUAAAGAACUUGCCUCACAGUUAGGGACAACAUUUGGAAACGGAUGCUAAUACCUGAUAUUAUGAUUUUAGGGCAUCCUAAGAUUAUGAAAGCUAUAUGCGCUGUGAGAGAGCUUUGCGUCCCAUUAGCUAGUUGGAGAGGUAACGGCUCACCAAGGCGAUGAUGGGUAGCCGGCCUGAGAGGGUGAACGGCCACAAGGGGACUGAGACACGGCCCUUACUCCUACGGGAGGCAGCAGUGGGGAAUAUUGGACAAUGGACCAAAAGUCUGAUCCAGCAAUUCUGUGUGCACGAUGACGUUUUUCGGAAUGUAAAGUGCUUUCAGUUGGGAAGAAAAAAAUGACGGUACCAACAGAAGAAGUGACGGCUAAAUACGUGCCGGCAGCCGCGGUAAUACGUAUGUCACAAGCGUUAUCCGGAUUUAUUGGGCGUAAAGCGCGUCUAGGUGGUUAUGUAAGUCUGAUGUGAAAAUGCAGGGCUCAACUCUGUAUUGCGUUGGAAACUGCAUGACUAGAGUACUGGAGAGGUAAGCGGAACUACAAGUGUAGAGGUGAAAUUCGUAGAUAUUUGUAGGAAUGCCGAUGGGGAAGCCAGCUUACUGGACAGAUACUGACGCUAAAGCGCGAAAGCGUGGGUAGCAAACAGG